rnacentral:lncRNA from 1 species
UUACCUAAUUUACACAAAAUGAAUCAAGACUAAUAUAUAAGAUAUAUACACUAACAAUGAUCAUGGCACUUCCUUUCUAUUUAUUUUUAUGAUUCCUUUUAUAUUUUAUAUUUUGAUGUAAGUUUUUAUAUUUCGAUUUGGAAUCAAGAAAUUAUUCGUGAAGAGAGAGAUAUGCCGUAGCAUCUCAUUUCUAUUAUCUUGGCUCCCCAACC